AUCCUCCAAGGCUAAAUACUCCUGAUUGACCGAUAGUGAACCAGUACCGUGAGGGAAAGGCGAAAAGAACCCCGGCGAGGGGAGUGAAAUAGAACCUGAAACCGUGUACGUACAAGCAGUGGGAGCCUUGAUUUAUCAGGGUGACUGCGUACCUUUUGUAUAAUGGGUCAGCGACUUAUAUUCUGUAGCAAGGUUAACCGAAUAGGGGAGCCGUAGGGAAACCGAGUCUUAACUGGGCGAAUGAGUUGCAGGGUAUAGACCCGAAACCCGGUGAUCUAGCCAUGGGCAGGUUGAAGGUUGGGUAACACUAACUGGAGGACCGAACCGACUAAUGUUGAAAAAUUAGCGGAUGACUUGUGGCUGGGGGUGAAAGGCCAAUCAAACCGGGAGAUAGCUGGUUCUCCCCGAAAGCUAUUUAGGUAGCGCCUCGUGAACUCAUCUUCGGGGGUAGAGCACUGUUUCGGCUAGGGGGUCAUCCCGACUUACCAACCCGAUGCAAACUACGAAUACCGAAGAAUGUUAUCACGGGAGACACACGGCGGGUGCUAACGUUCGUCGUGAAGAGGGAAACAACCCAGACCGCCAGCUAAGGUCCCAAAGUCAUGGUUAAGUGGGAAACGAAGUGGGAAGGCUCAGACAGCCAGGAUGUUGGCUUAGAAGCAGCCAUCAUUUAAAGAAAGCGUAAUAGCUCACUGGUCGAGUCGGCCUGCGCGGAAGAUGUAACGGGGCUAAACCAUGCACCGAAGCUGCGGCAGCGACAUGUAAAUGUUGUUGGGUAGGGGAGCGUUCUGUAAGCCUGUGAAGGUGUGCUGCGAGGCAUGCUGGAGGUAUCAGAAGUGCGAAUGCUGACAUAAGUAACGAUAAUGCGGGUGAAAAACCCGCACGCCGGAAGACCAAGGGUUCCUGUCCAACGUUAAUCGGGGCAGGGUGAGUCGACCCCUAAGGCGAGGCAGAAAUGCGUAGUCGAUGGGAAACAGGUUAAUAUUCCUGUACUGGUGAUAAUUGCGAUGGGGGGACGGAGAAGGCUAGGCUGGCCGGGCGACGGUUGUCCCGGUUUAAGGAUGUAGGUGGGCGAAUUAGGCAAAUCCGGUUCGCUAUACACUGAGGUCUGAUGACGAGUCACUACGGUGGCGAAGUAGCUCAUGCCCCGCUUCCAGGAAAAGCCUCUAAGCUCUAGAUUAUCAUUAAUCGUACCCCAAACCGACACAGGUGGUCAGGUAGAGAAUACUCAGGCGCUUGAGAGAACUCGGGUGAAGGAACUAGGCAAAAUGGUGCCGUAACUUCGGGAGAAGGCACGCUGGCA
rnacentral:rRNA from 1 species